UUUUAUUUUAUUUUAUUUUUUGAGGUUAAGGCUCAAUCUCGUCUUCAGUGCUUUUGCCAACGUCUCCAUUGACAGGAACCAGCAAACUUCAGGACUCAAAUGAGCGUCUUAAUUUAUUGAUGCAAAACAGGUCUGCUUGUCGCCCCCAAUUCUCGGCGCGCUCUGUCCCCCACGCCCCCAGCUUCGGUCCCUCCAUUUGAUCUCAGGAAAGCUUCACAUGUGAGAUAAAUGCACUCAAAGACUCCUCACAAGUAGCUCUUUGGAGCUUUAGAUGUGAAAUGGAUCGUUCCUCAAUCUGUAAUAGACCCUUCUGUGAAGCUCUUCAAUCAAACCUGAGAAUUUAAGGUUUGCAUUUAAAACACUCUUGGAGCACUAAUUGUAUAAAAUUCUAGUAACUGCACAAUCUCUUUUUAGAGAGGUAAGGAGUGAAAGAAUGAAAAGGCAGGGAUUAUUUGCCAUUCUAAGCAGGGAUUGUCAGAAGAUUUCUACUUGACUGAAAUUGUUUUGGAAGGUUUUGGAUUUGAUGACUAGAGUGUCCUUUGAGUGGAAUUUCUGUCUUAACUCUGACCUGGAGGACAGUGAGUUUAGGUAGCCUUGUUGAUCUGACGGUCUUGACCACUGCUUUC